rnacentral:tRNA from 1 species
GCGCCGGUGGUCUAAUGUCACAGGCAUUCCCGCCUGGUCAGCAGGAUAUGCGGGUUCGAGUCCCACCUGGCGCU